UGUUGUAUAUUUAGUUAUUUGUAAAAUAACUUCAUGAUAAAUUUUUUUAUGCCUUCUUCUUCUGUCGAGGACACAUGGAUUCCUAGCAACUUUGUUGAGGUCGUAUAUAAAAUUUUUGGAUACGCUUGCAGCAAAUAAUCUUCAGCUGUUGUAAUUAUAUGGGAACUUUGGACAUUAAUCGAUAGGCCAGAGUCUUUUUUGAAGUCAUCCAGUUUCUCAAGGAGUUCGCAAAUCAACUUUUUCAGUGCGGUAGAGUCACCUGAUAAAAAUACUGUAACGUCAUCGGCGUAUAGCAUGCAUUUUAUGUUUAAAUCUUGUUGAGGUUUUGUAAAAAUAAAUAUGGGGGUAUUGCGUUAUAAUUGACCUUGGAUGCUAAAAUUAAUAAACAAGAGAGAAAGAGGAAUGAAGAAGAAUAUAUACAAAGAAUUUAAUAGCCACUAAUUCUCAUAAGAAAUUAUAAAUACAUUUUUAAUUAAUAAAUUCUUAUUGGAUUUAUCAAA
rnacentral:lncRNA from 1 species